rnacentral:rRNA from 1 species
AGCAGUCGCCGCGGUAAUACGGAGGGUGCAAGCGUUACUCGGAAUUACUGGGCGUAAAGCGUGCGUAGGUGGUGGUUUAAGUCCGUUGUGAAAGCCCUGGGCUCAACCUGGGAAUUGCAGUGGAUACUGGGUCACUAGAGUGUGGUAGAGGAUAGUGGAAUUUCCGGUGUAGCAGUGAAAUGCGUAGAGAUCGGAAGGAACAUCUGUGGCGAAGGCGACUAUCUGGGCCAACACUGACACUGAGGCACGAAAGCGUGGGGAGCAAACAGGAUUAGAUACCCCUGUAGUCCCUGUCUCUUAUAA